rnacentral:rRNA from 1 species
UACGGGGGGGGGCAAGCGUUGUUCGGAAUUACUGGGCGUAAAGGGCUCGUAGGCGGCCAACUAAGUCGGAUGUGAAAUCCCCAGGCUCAACCUGGGAACUGCAUCCGAUACUGGAUGGCUUGAAUCCGGGAGAGGGAUGCAGAAUUCCAGGUGUAGCGGUGAAAUGCGUAGAUAUCAGGAGGAACACCUGCGGUGUAGACGGCUUACUGGACCAUAACUGACGCUGAGGCACGAAAGCGUGGGUAGCAAACAGG